rnacentral:tRNA from 1 species
AGUUGGUUUUAAAAGGUUUGAUUUGAAUUCUAACUAUAAGUAUUUUGAUAUACUUGCCAAUUU